rnacentral:misc_RNA from 1 species
GAUGAAGAACGCAGUGAAAUGCGAUAAGUAAUGUGAAUUGCAGAAUUCAGUGAAUCAUCGAAUCUUUGAACGCACAUUGCGCCCGCCAGCAUUCUGGCGGGCAUGCCUGUUCGAGCGUCAUUUCAAACCUCGAGCCCCCCCGGGGGCCUCGGUGUUGGGGGACGGCACACCAGCCGCCCCCGAAAUGCAGUGGCGACCCCGCCGCAGCCUCCCCUGCGUAGUAGCACACACCUCGCACCGGAGCGCGGAGGCGGUCACGCCGUAAAACGCCCAACUUUCUUAGAGUUGACCUCGGAUCAGGUAGGAAUACCCGCUGAACUUAAGCAUAUCAAUAAGCGGAGGA